UUAGAACGUAAAACAAACAACAUUAAAUAUGUUUUUUCUUACUGUGUUGGCAUGCAUUACUCUCUCCCAGGCCAGUUAACUGCUUUAUAAUACCUAUCCUUACGCUCGUCCUUACCAAGCUGGGUACUACGUCAGGGACCCUCAUCGUCACGAGCACGUUGAAGUAGCUCGAGACCACGGAGGUGCAGUUGCAGGUCGAUACGGUUACCUCGAUGCCAGGGGAAUCGGACGACAGGUGCAUUACGUCGCUGACCACGCCGGACUUAGGGCUAAUGUGCACACCAAUGAACCAGCAAUCGUCCGCAACGCACCACUCGCCGCUGGUAUUGUCUCUGACGGUCUUCUCGCUCGUGGUGUAGCUGCUACAGUUCCUGCCUAUAAUCCAGCCCUCGGUUACGAUUAUGGAUUGAAUCCAUAUGGUUUGGCAUACAACAGAUUUGGUCUUGGAUACGGCUAUGGAAGUGCUUUGGGAUACACUGGUCUUUUGGGAAGUUACGGAAAUCUCUAUGCUUAAUUUUUUUAUUUCCUAAUCUGAAUGAAUUUGCCUACCUCAUUUGAAAAUGUGAAAACUGAAUACUUGAAUUUCGCUGUUUCGUGAUGUGUAUCUUUAAUUUCUAAAUUUCAUUUGCUUUAGACAUACAUUUUUUUUUAUUUCUUUGGUUUUACAAGUUAGAAAAUUCUCGCGCGCUUUUUAAACCAAUACUGUAUGA